CGUGCCUAACACAUGCAAGUCGAGGGGCAGACACAAGGAGCAAUCUGAGGUGGCGACCGGCGCACGGGUGAGUAACACGUAUGCAACCUGCCUGUAAGCGGGGAAUAACCCGUUGAAAGACGGACUAAUACCGCAUAAUACUAAAUUACUGCAUGGUAAUUUAUUUAAACAUUUAUGGCUUACAGAUGGGCAUGCGCAUGAUUAGCUAGUUGGAGAGGUAACGGCUCCCCAAGGCAACGAUCAUUAGGGGUUCUGAGAGGAAGGUCCCCCACACUGGUACUGAGACACGGACCAGACUCCUACGGGAGGCAGCAGUGAGGAAUAUUGGUCAAUGGACGAGAGUCUGAACCAGCCAAGUCGCGUGCAGGAAGAAUGUCCUUAAUGGAUUGUAAACUGCUUUUGCAGGGGGAAUAAAGUGCAUCACGUGUGAUGUUUUGUAUGUACUCUGCGAAUAAGGAUCGGCUAACUCCGUGCCAGCAGCCGC
rnacentral:rRNA from 1 species